rnacentral:rRNA from 1 species
AUUGAACGCUGGCGGCAUGCCUUACACAUGCAAGUCGAACGGCAGCACGGGUGCUUGCACCUGGUGGCGAGUGGCGAACGGGUGAGUAAUACAUCGGAACGUACCUUAUCGUGGGGGAUAACGCAGCGAAAGCUGUGCUAAUACCGCGUACGCCCUGAGGGGGAAAGCGGGGGAUCGAAAGACCUCGCGCGAUUAGAGCGGCCGAUGCCUGAUUAGCUUGUUGGUGGGGUAAAAGCCCACCAAGGCGACGAUCAGAAGCUGGUCUGAGAGGACGAGCAGCCACACGGGGCAUGAGACACGGCCCCGACUCCUACGGGAGGCAGCAGUGGGGAAUUUUGGACAAUGGGGGCAACACUGAUCCACCAAUGCCGCGUGAGUGAAGAAGGCCUUCGGGUUGUAAAGCUCUUUUGUCAGGGAAGAAACACCGGCUCUAACACAGUCCGGGAAUGACGGUACCUGAAGAAUAAGCACCGGCUAACUACGUGCCAGCCGCCGCGGUAA